UUGGUCGACAUACCACGUUGGCUGUCAGAAAUGCACACUGCAGUAAGGCGGUAUUUGAGUUAUAUUUUAGAAGUGCCUAGACAAAAUGUGCUCCUUGUCGUGUGCAGUAACCAUCGCAAACCCUCCGGACUCGUGUAAGGCCGUUAGUUCGCCGUGUGCUUCGUGCGAUCUACCAGUGUCGACAGUGAGUGUCUUACUACAGCGCCCGUCCGAGAGCUGCCUUUGUUCUGCCCACGCUCCCGUGAAAAGUCUGGUACUGGAGCUUCGAAUCGUAGUGUAUGGAAGGCUGUUGAAGGUUGUGCUUUUGUGGAGCUGGAGUUCAUCGGAAGUUCUACAGUGCUUGCGCCAGAAAGACGUCGGUGCCUCGGUACCUUUGAGACGAAGGAGCGUUGGCCAAGUCUUUUUGAAAGGCUAUGCGGAUUCUGGAGGCAUCCCUACAUCGAGCAGGAACCUGCUGCACUGCUGGAAGCUGGACAGCACGACAAUAAAGCACGUGAUCUGUGUGCUUUCUCAAAGGUAGACAUCGGCGACGGUGUAUAUGGUGAAAAGGGCCUGCUGAAGAGGCUGCGCCUGGAUGCUAACAACUCGGGCUUUCAGUUUGCGGGGGGCCUCCUUAAGGCUCCUUUUACAAAAGAAGAGGUUGAAGGGAGGCGCUACACAUGGAUGCGCAGCGAUUGUUUGUGAGAGCGUCACUGGCCUGCCUUUUCGCUUUGUUCUGGGUUUUCCACGUUAUCUACUCGAAAAAGGCCCACAGGAUUUUGACAUUUAUUGAGCACUGCUUUCUGGAUUUUUGCUACACAAAGCCGCAGGUGAAAGCAUUGGAUUUAGUCAAUUUUUUUAAAAAAAUUUUCAGAUGCAUAUCCUCAAGAAAGUUUCUGUCAAAAUUAUUUUGCCUAACAAAAGCACUCGUGGGUUCUGUGGCUGAACAGGUUGCCCAAGCCAUGUAGCACAGUGCUUGCUUUAAAGGGACACGAAAAAGAAAAUUUAUUUGAGCUUUAUUAAAUCAUUCUUCUACAACACCGAAAAAACAACUCCCACCAUGAGAAUUGGCUUGAUAAGCCAGAUAACUUGCAAAAACGAAAACUGGUGUCGCCACCACCACCUUAUAGUUCCUGCACCAGCUCGCUGUGAUAUGGAAUUUGACGGUGUCUGUUCGGGUCUAGCUAAUGUUCUACUGGCCAAUAUUGAUGAAUUCUGUUGUAAAGGUGUCAAAGAAUAUACUUAGUUGAAGUAUGACUCCACACUGAUGUGCGGGCACUGCAUAAAACUUGAAAAAUGAAAGUUAAAUCUUCAUUUUCUCUUCUAAUAAUCCUCUUAUUGCCACAAUGUUCAUGAAUACAGUUCUGAAAGAUUGUUUUAUCAGUAUAAAAUGAUUUACUGUUUCACUUUAGUAUUUCUGUAAUGGACCUUCAGCAACAAAAUGUGUGUUAGUAUUCCACAGGUAUUCUCAGCGGGGGCAAAAGCACCAGCAGCAUGCUCAAUGAUUCUGUACCAACUGAUAACUUGAAGGAUGUCCUGUGUCACUAGGGUUAGGCCAACGUGGCUCUGUGCUAAUCACAAGUGUAUUAUGCAAAACUUAAUGGCCCAGAAAUUGGUAAUUCAGGAGGGAGUUGAAUUAGCAAUUUUUUUUUCUUUAUCAUGGACUUCUCACAUUACACUUUGUCACAACGCAUUCACUUUAAAGUAACUGGAGAAUAAGGUGGUUUGGUAUUCAGACAUGCCUUCUCUGUGUAAACAGUGUUAGAUGAGCAAUACAAAGAUACACCAUAGAUGCUGACUGGCAACAUGAAGGGGUUUGAGGGCAGCUACAAAUAUACAUCCUUGUAGUCGUACCUAUAGCACCAUGUUCAAUUUGUCACACAAGCAUAUGUCAUCCAUGACAACUGCAUGCCUAGAAACGGACAAGGGCAACACGCUCAAUUCCCUUUUAGUCUAUCUAAGAAGCACUACAAUUUUUAGGCAACGAAAUUGAAAUCUGGCUUGUACCCAUAAGUACAGUCGCCGACCGUUUAUUCGGACCUCACGGGGACUGCGGAAAUGUCCGAAUAAACAGGUGUCCGAAAAAGCAGAUUAAGGGAAAAAAAUGAAAUCCUUUAUUUCCACGCACUUAUUCGGGCUCGGCAGUAGGCUUGAAGAAAUCGUGAAUGCGCCGUUGCACGCUGUUCCGUUUACGCGCAGUCAGACAAGCCUGAAUCUCGGAGAGGGUCGUACGGUCACUAUAGGCGGCUGAAAGCACAGUCACUGCUUGUACACGCUCCGCAGGCGACGGCAGCGUAGCACAUGGUGCGUCAACUUCCGACUCGGUCAUCGUCCGGCGGUGCAGCAGAAACCUGACGAAUGAUAUAGCCGUCGUCGAGUUCUGCGCAUGUCAGUACAGCAGUGUCGGCACCUGUGAAACUGUCAAUGAGACGGUGUCCGGAAUCGCAAUGCAACCACUGCGCAAGUCUCGGCAGAACAUUUUCCGCGUCGGUAGGGAGCACAUCGGAAGGCAACAAAUCUUUUAGGCCUCCCGGCACCCGCUUGCCGGCAUUCCGCAGCGCAGUCUGCGCGGGCACUAUCAGCGCCAUUGGAGACUUGACGCGAUGUUU